rnacentral:rRNA from 1 species
CAGUAGCCACGGUAAUACGGAGGGGGCUAGCGUUGUUCGGAAUUACUGGGCGUAAAGCGCACGUAGGCGGCUUGGUAAGUUAGAGGUGAAAGCCUGGAGCUCAACUCCAGAAUUGCCUUUAAGACUGCCGAGCUAGCAGGUGAGAGAGGUAAGUGGAAUUCCGAGUGUAGAGGUGAAAUUCGUAGAUAUUCGGAAGAACACCAGUGGCGAAGGCGGCUUACUGGCUCAUACUGGACGCUGAGGUGCGAAAGCGUGGGGAGCAAACAGGAUUAGAUACCCGCGUAGUCCCUGUCUCUUAUAC